GUAGGUGGCAAGCGUUGUCCGGAAUUAUUGGGCGUAAAGCGCGCGCAGGCGGUUCUUUAAGUCUGAUGUGAAAGCCCACGGCUCAACCGUGGAGGGUCAUUGGAAACUGGAGAACUUGAGUACAGAAGAGGAAAGCGGAAUUCCACGUGUAGCGGUGAAAUGCGUAGAGAUGUGGAGGAACACCAGUGGCGAAGGCGGCUUUCUGGUCUGUAACUGACGCUGAGGCGCGAAAGCGUGGGGGGCAAACAGGGAUUAGAUACCCUGGUAGUCCACGCCGUAAACGAUGAGUGCUAAGUGUUAGGGGGUUUCCGCCCCCUUAGUGCUGCAGCUAACGCAUUAAGCACUCGCCUGGGGAUACGGCCGCAAGGCUG
rnacentral:rRNA from 1 species